rnacentral:rRNA from 1 species
GACGAACGCUGGCGGCGUGCUUAACACAUGCAAGUCGAACGGAAAGGCUCUUCUUUUGUGGGGUGCUCGAGUGGCUAACGUGUGAGUAACACGUGAGUUACCUGCCCUUCACUUUGGUAUAAUCUUAGGAAACUGGGUCUAAUACCGGAUAGGACCUCCGUCUGUAUGCUGUGGUUUGGAAAGUUUCGGCGUUUGGGGAUGUACUCGCGUCUUAUCUGUUUGUUGGUUGGGUAGUGGACUACCAAGGCUAUGACGGGUAGCCGGCCUGAGAGGGUGACCGGCAACAUUGGGACUGAGAUACGGCCAAGACUCAUACGGGAGGAAGCAGUGGGGAAUAUUGCACAAUGGGCGGAAGCCUGAUGCAGCGACGCCGCGUGCGGGAUGACGGCCUUCGGGUUGUAAACCGCUUUCGCUAGUGACGAAGCGAGAGUGACGGUAAUGGGUAAAGAAGCACCGGCUAACUACGUG